rnacentral:lncRNA from 1 species
AGUUGUUCUUCGAGUAAUGACCGAUCCAAACACCUUGUGAGAUUUUGAUUGAAUCGGCGACUUCAAUGGAUAGCCGGCGAUUUCAAUAGUUGAAUCAGCAAAAGGGAAUACAUGCUUGGCACCAGCAAAAGAAAACGGCAGGAGAUGGAGGAUUGAGAUGACUCUAAAAAAAAAAAACUUUACUAGAGAAAACGAAUCAGUAAUCUGAACGAGACUUGCCGAGAUCUGGG